GAUGUGUGUGUUUAGCUCAGUCCUUUGGUUCGGACACAUGUUUCAAUACCCUAUCUGAUAGCACAGACCCUGCCCCCUUAACCCCCUCUGUCAUCUUUUCUCUCUCAAGCUUUUUCCGAGAAAAUCUGAGACGCCCCAGGGUAGCAGUCAGAUGACCUUGGGACAGGGCUCUGCCGGAACUUAAUCGAAACGCUGGUAUUCCCGAGCACGAUCGUGAACGCUAACAGGACAGUGAAAGAAGAAUGUCUAACUCACACUCCCGGCCCAGUAUAAACUCCAUGCCCUGGCCUGUUCUGACAGACAGGAAGUGCUCCUAUCAUCUCCAUGGGAAAGAGUGGAGCCGGAGACCCCUCCUCAAACAGAAGGCGGGUUUAGAUCAACACACAAAACAGGUUCUCACACACAAAGAGCUUACCUUUACAAUACCUUACAGAAAACCACUAACCCUUACAGUUUAACUAUGACUAUUUAGAGGUGAAAAACAUGUCAUGCCUUUGUGAUGUAUGUCAGUGUUUUCAGGAGGGUGUUAUUUAGACACAUUUGGAGGUAGAUGUAAAAUAAAGAGUACCAGAGCCGGCAGGGUAGCCUAGUGGGGCGGCAGGGUAGCCUAGUGGUUAGAGCGUUGGACGAGUAACCGGAAGGUUGCAGGUUCAAACCCCCAAGCUGACAAGGUGUUUGCAAGAAUGGACAACUGCUGGUAUCUGUCGUUCUGCCCCUGAACAGGCAGUUAACCCACUGUUCCUAGGCCGUCAUUGAAAAUAAGAAUUUGUUCUUAACUGACUUGCCUAGUUAAAUAAAGGUAAAAUGAAAGAGCCAUAUCUAUAACUUGGGGGUAUAAUAAACAGUAUAUAAAAAGUCAGCUAUAAGCCUAACUAGAACACUAGGCUAUUUAUCCCUGAAUAAAUUGUGAUUUUUUUGUUUUGUUUUCAACAAUCAAUUCUUAUUUAUAAAAUGUUUCUAAGCAUGAUUUCCUUUGUUUCUAAAGAUUCAAUAAUAGUCUUGUCUGCACCGUGAAAUAGAAGCGCUUUCUUCCCGCCAUGAAUGGCUGGCAAUUCUCCGAGCCUUACAGCGCCAUUGAACUGCUUGGGGAAGCAAUUGACGCAUCCCAGUGGAACUGCCGAGAUGCACCAUGUAUAUUUUUUUUUAUCCCCGAGGAAACAGAGGAGGUGGAAUAGGUGAGGUUGAGGCUCUUCCAAAAACUAUCAUCGUUUUCUUUGGACAUACUCUAGGCUACUUACCGCUUCACCUCAUCAACGAAAAUGUAAAAAGUUAACAGCGUUAGGCAAGUUAUGCCGGUCCGGGACGAAUAAACUCUCCGCUUUCGCCGUACAGGCAGCCCGAUAUGUCUUGAUAGUAGGUGGUACUGUAGUGUUUGCAAGAAUGGACAACCGCUGGUAUCAUGCUGCAUUAAAAUCAGUCUCCGUUGUGUCUCUGACAAUGCCUACCUGGACACAACAUUCCCGGUCGAGGCAAUUGAGUUGUCUUCAGAUAAAGUUCACAAUAACACCAGAAAAUUAUCCAGAAAAGCACACUUAUCUGGCUGUAAAGUGUGGAUGUACAGAAAUGCAAAAUUUCAAAAUAUUCUGAGGGGACAGUUUCCGGGUAAAAGCGUCCUUGUCCUCCGUCUUUUUCGAACUGUCACCCUUUCUUUCGUCCUGUCAGUCUGGAGUUUUUCUAUUAAGUUUCUUGGACUCGAGUCCCUCCCCUUUCUGGCAGAGCUGACCAAUGGCAGAGUGGACUGUGCGUAUCGAAGGGGAAAUAAUAACCUGUUCGCCAACGUAACCUUGCGGGCGUCCUUCCGUUGCCAUCCAUGACCUCCAACUGUCCGUCGGUGUUCCAAGGCUCGAGAAUAGCACCUCCAUUCGUUAUCUUUUACUGUAGGCAACAUUGAAUUAGUGUGUUCUCCAGUGUACAGGCCAUCUGCAGGCUGUUGGAGCGAGCGGAGCAUCAACCAUGGGGGUCCAGCACCACUUCACCCAGACCAACCACUCUCCUUCAUAUAGGCCGGGGCCUCGUCUGCUGCUGCCUCCUCACUGUUUCCUGCAGGGUACACACACCGCGGAGAGCGAUGGAUGAAGUCGUGCAUGGAUGAAAGUAUAAAUGGACAAAUGAAGGAAUGGAUGUUUAGCCCAAUGCAACAUUACUGGCUUCAGUUUAUAUCAUAAAUCAUAUGUGUGUCUGUGUGACACUGUGUGUUUGUGUGUGAGGGAGAUAGUUACCUAGUUACCAUGUGGAACAGGAUGAGUUUAGCCAUGAGUUUGGAUGUGUGACCUUCAUGAUGGCUUCUCCAUAUCCUGUGGGGGACACUGCUCCCACCUUGUUAUCAGCAUAACCCCCACAUCCUGGCACACACACACACACUCCCUUCUACGAAAGAAAAAGGAUAAAAGUAUUGGGACAGUGACACAAUUGUUGUUUUUGGCACUGUACUCCAUCACUUUGGAUUUGAAAUUAUACAAUGACUGAGGUUCAAGUGCAGACUGUCAGCUUUAAUUUGAGGAUAUUUUCUUCCGUAUCGGGCGAAGAUGUCCACUAAACAUAGAAUCACAUCAUGUAUCCGUCUCUGAUAAAUUGUGAAUGUCUUUGCAAGUGAUGUAUAAAAAUAUGCUUAAAAUGAAAACCAAGAUGAUCGCAUUUAAACAUAAACAGUAAGCCAGGACUGCCCAACCCUCUUCCUGGAGAUGUACCGUCCUGUGGGUUUUCAGUCCAACCGUCUUCCUGGAGAUGUACCGUCCUGUGGGUUUUCAGUCCAACCCUCUUCCUGGAGAUGUACCGUCCUGUGGGUUUUCAGUCCAACCUUAAUUUAACAUACCUGAUUCUACUAAUUAGCUGCUCAACAAGACCUUAACUAGCUGAAUCAGAUAUGCUAAAUUAGGGUUGGACUGACAACCUACAG
ensembl:lncRNA